UUAAGCCUGCAUGUCUCAGUAUAAGCUUCUAUACGGCGAAACUGCGAAUGGCUCAUUAAAACAGUUAUAGUUUAUUUGGUGGUCAGCAAUUACAUGGAUAACCGUGGUAAUUCUAGAGCUAAUACAUGCGCCCAAACCCGACUUCGUGGAAGGGUUGUGUUUAUUAGAUACAGAACCAACCCAGGCUCCGCCUGGCCUUGAGGUGAUUCAUAAUAACCGAACGAAUCGCAUGGCUAUGCCGGCGAUAGACCAUUCAAGUUUCUGACCUAUCAGCUAUCGUCGGUAGGGUAUUGGCCUACCGUGGCAAUGACGGGUAACGGAGAAUUAGGGUUCGAUUCCGGAGAGGGAGCCUGAGAAACGGCUACCACAUCUAAGGAAGGCAGCAGGCGCGCAAAUUACCCAAUCCUGACGCAGGGAGGUAGUGACAAGAAAUAACAAUACAGGGCAUACAUGUCUUGUAAUUGGAAUGAGUAAACUUUAAAUCACUUUACGAGUAUCAAUUGGAGGG
rnacentral:rRNA from 1 species